rnacentral:rRNA from 1 species
AUGUAUGAUGGGGAGCGAGUCAGUUCUGUGGAACGGGCUUCCAAGCAAAAGGCGCUGGUGUCCAGCGCCAACUCUGAAGAUGCUGCGGCUCGCCGCCGUGGCUCGUCCGGCGGCCGUCGCAAGAAGGCGAAGGUUCAGGUGGUUGCUGGGCUUCUGAAGUUGCCACUCUCUGGAACCCCUCGCCCUCUAACCCGGGGCAAGCUCAAGCAGUUGGCUCGGUGCUGCGACCUCAACACCGAGGCCAUCCUCUCUCAAGCAGAAGCUUCAACAUGCCCUUCCACGUCGUCCGAUGGCUCGACUGCUUCCUCUGUGGGUGCUGAACUUCGUCUGAAUGUGUAG